GCGGUGGAUGAUGUGGUUUAAUUCGAUGCAACGCGAAAACCUUACCACCUUUGACAUGUACGGAAUCCUUUAGAGAUAGAGGGGUGACUCGAAAGAGAGCCGUAACACAGGUGCUGCAUGGCUGUCGUCAGCUCGUGUCGUGAGAUGUUGGGUUAAGUCCCGCAACGAGCGCAACCCUUGUCAUUAGUUGCUACAUUUGGUUGGGCACUCUAAUGAGACUGCCGGUGACAAGCCGGAGGAAGGUGGGGAUGACGUCAAGUCCUCAUGGCCCUUAUAGGUGGGGCUACACACGUCAUACAAUGGCUGGUACAAAGGGUUGCCAACCCGCGAGGGGGAGCUAAUCCCACAAAGCCAGUCGUAGUCCGGAUCGUAGUCUGCAACUCGACUACGUGAAGUCGGAAUCGCUAGUAAUCGUGGAUCAGAAUGUCACGGUGAAUACGUUCCCGGGUCUU
rnacentral:rRNA from 1 species